CAUUUAUUCCUUGCAACAAAUCAUCUCAGUUCUGUAGACAGAAAACUACGGCAAAGGGAGAUAAACGUGCCCAAUGCCCCACCAGUGGAAAAUGCUGAAGCUGGUAAUCAAACCGAGGUCAUCUGACUCCCAGGCUGUCGCCACAAAAUUCCUUGAGAAGUCAUGUAAUUGAUCUGGUUCCUUGUCUGUAAAUCUGGGAGGUUGACUUAGAUAAUCUUGACAUCUGCCCUCCUGUUAAAAAGUAAAUGGUGGGUUCACAGCCUCAAUUUCCACUUCUUGAAUGGGACUCAAGUUUGCAGCCCUCUGUGCUCCUGUCCAAAGGGAUUCGCUCUCCCUUCAGAGAAGCACUGACAAGGAUUGUUCGGGGUUUUUGAAUGGCUUCAAGAGGAUCAGAUUGCAGUAUACCUUUGGCCUGCCCUGGAGGAAAUGUCUCAAGAAGAGAGAGGUUAGUUCUUUCUCCAGACACUUUUAAUCUUUGAAUUCAGGAGUGGGAGUAUUAUCCAAGCUGCUUAUUAUGAAGAAUGUAUCAAGUCGUGGCUAUGUGUUUCCUAAGAUCAAAGCUAAAAUUGACUAAUCAUUUCAUAUAGGCAACUGCAAAACCGCCAAGCUAGAGCCAGUUUUGAAAUCACGUGCGUCUUUCUCAUAAGUGAAUUCCUGAGUGCUCCACGUGAGUUGCAAUGAAUUGUUUGUGGUUAAAGUUUUAAGAACUCAGCUUUUAGGAGGAUAGGGUAGAGCAUUUGCCUCAUAAUCAACACUUAUGAAGAAUCCAGUCAUUGCUACUGAUGACCAGCCUAUAUUUCUUGAUAGCAGAGUUCAGAGCAAUGAAUGGGUCUGACUAGGAAAACCUGGACUUCCACCAUAGGCUGAGGGAUAGUGGAGCAUGCAAAGUCUUCCGAAUCAUGGUAGAGGUCAACAUGUCUGCCUUUCACUAUAUAGGACUUAUCUAAUAUCCAAUAACUUUCAGGGGAGGGACCAUUGCACACAUCAGGGGGUUCUGAAAUUCCUAAGAUCCUAUGUAAUAUUUUUUGUGAGCAUAUAAAUGCUCUUUUUCUGUCCAGUCUACCUUCCUAGUUAUUAUCAAAUUUUCAAGGAAAUCUGUGACGUGCCACAACCAUCGACCCUCCUCCCCUUUUCCUGCCCAAGAGAUUUAAACAGAGAAGCCUACUUCAGGAAGCACUAGAGAUGCCACCCUAGCCUAAUUUGAAUUAUGUAUGAUAAUAAGAGGGCUUCAGGCAGAUACCCCUGAAGGUGCACUGUGUCUCACUGUUCCUGAGUCACCUAGCCAGGAUUUCCCUGCCGAGAGUGUUCUGCGUUCACAGCUACUUAUAAAUCAGC